rnacentral:rRNA from 1 species
UACGGAGGGUGCAAGCGUUAUCCGGAUUCACUGGGUUUAAAGGGUGCGUAGGUGGGUUGGUAAGUCAGUGGUGAAAUCCCCGAGCUUAACUUGGGAACUGCCAUUGAUACUAUCAAUCUUGAAUACCGUGGAGGUCAGCGGAAUAUGUCAUGUAGCGGUGAAAUGCUUAGAUAUGACAUAGAACACCAAUUGCGAAGGCAGCUGACUACACGAAUAUUGACACUGAGGCACGAAAGCGUGGGGAUCAAACAGG